CCCGCACAAGCGGUGGAGCAUGUGGUUUAAUUCGAUGAUACGCGAGGAACCUUACCGUGGGCUCAAAUGUAUGUUGACGUAUUCUGAAAGGGAUACUUCUUCGGACAAUAUACAAGGUGCUGCAUGGUUGUCGUCAGCUCGUGCCGUGAGGUGUCGGGUUAAGUCCCAUAACGAGCGCAACCCCUAUCAUUAGUUGCCAUCAGGUCAAGCUGGGGACUCUAAUGAAACUGCCUACGCAAGUAGUGAGGAAGGUGGGGAUGACGUCAAAUCAGCACGGCCCUUACGUCCAGGGCUACACACGUGCUACAAUGGCCGGUACAAAGGGCAGCUACCUGGUGACAGGAUGCUAAUCUCAAAAGCCGGUCUCAGUUCGGAUCGGAGUCUGCAACCCGACUCCGUGAAGUUGGAUUCGCUAGUAAUCGCGCAUCAGCCAUGGCGCGGUGAAUACGUUCCCGGGCCUU
rnacentral:rRNA from 1 species